rnacentral:tRNA from 1 species
GGAGGGAUGGCCGAGUGGUUGAUGGCGGCGGUCUUGAAAACCGCUGUACCCGAAAGGGUAUCGGGGGUUCGAAUCCCUCUCCCUCCGCCA